rnacentral:rRNA from 1 species
CAACGGAUAAAAGGUACCCCGGGGAUAACAGGCUGAUCUUCCCCAAGAGUCCAUAUCGACGGGAUGGUUUGGCACCUCGAUGUCGGCUCGUCGCAUCCUGGGGCUGGAGUCGGUCCCAAGGGUUGGGCUGUUCGCCCAUUAAAGCGGUACGCGAGCUGGGUUUAGAACGUCGUGAGACAGUUCGGUCCCUAUCCGCUGUGCGCGUAGGAGUCUUGAGAAGGGCUGUCCCUAGUACGAGAGGACCGGGACGGACGAACCUCUGGUGUGCCAGUUGUUCUGCCAAGAGCAUGGCUGGUUGGCUACGUUCGGGAGGGAUAACCGCUGAAAGCAUCUAAGCGGGAAGCCUGCUUCGAGAUGAGGACUCCCACCCCCUUGAGGGGUUAAGGCUCCCAGUAGACGACUGGGUUGAUAGGCCGGAUCUGGAAGCACCGUGAGGUGUGGAGGUGACCGGUACUAAUAGGCCGAGGGCUUGUCCUCAGUUG